rnacentral:rRNA from 1 species
GUCGAGCGGUAACAUUUCUAGCUUGCUAGAAGAUGACGAGCGGCGGACGGGUGAGUAAUACUUAGGAAUCUACCUAGUAGUGGGGGAUAGCACGGGGAAACUCGUAUUAAUACCGCAUACGACCUACGGGAGAAAGGGGGCAGUUUACUGCUCUCGCUAUUAGAUGAGCCUAAGUCGGAUUAGCUAGAUGGUGGGGUAAAGGCCUACCAUGGCGACGAUCUGUAGCUGGUCUGAGAGGAUGAUCAGCCACACCGGGACUGAGACACGGCCCGGACUCCUACGGGAGGCAGCAGUGGGGAAUAUUGGACAAUGGGGGAAACCCUGAUCCAGCCAUGCCGCGUGUGUGAAGAAGGCCUUUUGGUUGUAAAGCACUUUAAGCAGUGAAGAAGACUCUUCGGUUAAUACCCGGAGACGAUGACAUUAGCUGCAGAAUAAGCACCGGCUAACUCUGUGCCAGCAGCCGCGGUAAUACAGAGGGUGCAAGCGUUAAUCGGAAUUACUGGGCGUAAAGGGAGCGUAGGUGGCUCGAUAAGUCAGAUGUGAAAUCCCCGGGCUCAACCUGGGAACUGCAUCUGAUACUGUUGAGCUAGAGUAUGUGAGAGGAAGGUAGAAUUCCAGGUGUAGCGGUGAAAUGCGUAGAGAUCUGGAGGAAUACCGAUGGCGAAGGCAGCCUUCUGGCAUAAUACUGACACUGA